ensembl:lncRNA
GCCGCUUGGGUUAGUAGCUUUCUCAAUCCUGCCCUUGAUGCCGAAUUCUUCCCCGGUCUUCUCUUCUGCAGUAGCAGGAAAAGCAGCUGGAGGCAGACCGCUAGCAGAUGUAGGUGUCUGUACAUUGGCUUGGCUAAAAAGAGCUGGACUGGGCUCUGACUUGCGAGCGGUAGUGGGAGUAACAGGCCGUUUGCCAGUUUCGGCACCUGCUGUAGAUGUGGAAGGCUUGGCGCCCUGGGCUUUCCUGCAGGUGCAGUUGGGGCACACAUAGUCCUCACUGUUGCGCUCCAUUAGGCGGCCGCGUGCCUCCGUAAUGCCCACACAGUCCCCGUGGAACCACUCCUCACAGCGGUCACAGCAGAUCAUGAACCUGAGCACACACUGCAUGCUUCAGCCACAUUAACAAACAGCGACAGCAUGCUCUCUCAUUCGGUCAAUCUUUUGUUGUGUUUCUGUCUGCAGAUGCAGUAAAGUGCAUUUGGAUCAUAACCGUCAUUAUCAGACUCGCUGGAUGAUGACAACGACUCAUCAUCCUCCUCUUCAUCCUCAUCCUUCUCUGUGCAUCCCCCUGCUUUAGGCUUAGCUUCUCUUUUGGGGCCUGCUUUCAAAGGGCUUCUUGAAGGCCUUGCGUUGGCAGGCACUUCCUCCUUGCUUGUCUCUUCAGCUGGUUUCUCAAAUUCUUCUUGUUUCAGUUCUUCCUUUGCGUCCUCCGACUUGGCAUCCUCUGCACCAGUCGCGAUCUCAAGCUGCUCUUGUGUCUCUUUCGUGGCGCUCUCUUCGUUUUCUGAACUAUCGUCGUCACUGGCCGAGUCAGCCAUGUCCGCUUUGGGCUUGGGGGUCGCCCUUCCCCUGCCCCUCCCUCUGGUCCUCCUCACUGGGGAUGGCGCUUUGCUUUCAGUCACUUUAGGCUCGGUGUUUCCAUCAAAGCUGGCCUCUGAUGCAGUCUCAGACGGUGGAUCUCCACUUUCCAGGUGAGCGGGCGUGCUACGUCUCCCUGUUCCUCUCCCUCGCUUGACUGUCACCAGGAACUCCUCAAGCUUAUCAGUGCGCUUGGCCUGCCUGCCGCUUCGUCGGACCGGUGCUCCAGGACUCUCUGUUAUACCUGCCGUCUCUCCAGUCAUGUCUCUUUUUUCAAUAGUGGUCCUGCGGAAGCGCCAAGUCUUCUUAAACUCGCCAGAGUUCUUGGCCGAUUUCUCUACGUCCUCUAGUUCUUUACGACCGGCAUCACUUUGGCCUUUGUCACCCUUACUGUCCCUUUCCUCCCCUGCCACGACAACUGGAGCUGUGAGAUGGUGGCAAGGAAAUUAGAAACAUUGAAAUUUUUUUGCCUUAACUUUGAAAGAAUCAAAAAGGAAAAUCAAGCUGAAUUUGGCAAAAGCAAACGUGACUAAGCAAGUGGCAUUCAUCGGCUAGAUUCGCCAUACAGAAUUCGGCGAGGCCAAGAUCCAAUAGCAGAAUUGAAAUGAUUCCCCGAAUCGAUUUAGAGUGCAAGAUUUGAAUUGAGACACCAGUUUGCAACAAUAAGUUCAAUAGUAGAACUGAUUCAGAGCCAGAUUAAAGUUCCACCAAGCUGCUGCGAACCAGGUAAAUGAAGCUCUCAUUCAUACAGCGCUCCAAGGUCAGUGGUAC